AGUGAACGCUGGCGGCGUGCCUAAUACAUGCAAGUCGAACGGAGUGGCGCCCGGGUGCGUGAUGUAUAUCUAAUCUGCCCUACACUAGAGGAGAACAGUAGGGAAGGACUGCUAAUACACUAUAGUGUAGGAUGAGGCUAUAUUGUAUCAGCUAGUUGGUGAGGUAAUGGUUCACCAAGGCUAUGACGCGUAACUGGGCUGAGGGGAUGAUCAGUCACAUUGGAACUGAGACACGGUCCAGGAUCCUUCGGCAGGCAGCAGUAGGGAGUAUUGCUCAAUGGGGGAAACCCUGAAGCAGCAUCGGCGCGUGGAGGAUGUCAAUUUUCGGAGCGUAAACUCCUUUUGUUAGGGAAGCGGUACCUAACGAAUAAGCACCGGCUAACUCCGUGCCAGCAGCCGCGGUAAUAC
rnacentral:rRNA from 1 species